CAAAAUUAUGACUUAGGUACCACUCUAGGAUGAAAAAAACUUCAUGUAUCAACUGUUGAAAAUCAAGAAACUUCAAGGUAGUAAAAUGAUAUUAAUCCUAUAUAGAUCUGAGUUAGUCUAUGGGAAAGACUUUAUUUUGUUAGAGACCUCCCUCCCUCUCGAAGAAAUCAAUCAAACAACUAAAUGCAAAUGAACGAACAUGAACAGAAUCAUAUCUCUGGUGCCAGUGCAACUACUUUUCUUCAAUAAAAGAGAACAAUAUUUUAUUACAAUUACAUGGAUCUUAUUAAAUUUCUCUCUUAAGUUAUACAAGCAGCUCUGGCUUUAAGCAUUAAAAGUUUGGGAUUACAAAACGAGUAAAAACAACUUAAAUUGUUCACUGAAUGAUAAUUCUUUGUCCAACUCUCAAAACCUCAGCAAUACUGAUUCUUGAAGGCUAAUAUAUCUCAAUAUUUAGUAAAAAUACAUUUCCACUUUUUCAUUAUUCCUAAAGGCAAAGAGUAAUCCGAAGGGGGCCCAAACUCCACAUCAUAGAAAGGCAUGACCAGAGUAAAGAGAGUAGUCUAAGGUUUAGCUUAUAUACUAAUAAUCAUCGCAUUAUUAAAUUCAUUAAUCAUUACUACAUGGGUUUAAUUUCUUUAUAAUAAAAGUAAAUACAUUUUUCUUUUUUUUAGUCCAUGGAAAUUUGUAGGUAUUGGGUGAGAAAACUAUACUAUUAGGAACUGAGGCUUCUGGACUCUCUAGAUGUGUCAUGGCUCAUGAUAAUUGGUGAGUAAAUCGAAGACUUGGUCGCUCGAUUGAGGUUUUUGUUGUACAUCAUACAAAGGCAUUAAUAGACUUAACUUCUAUAAGUGUGUUUUCCUUUUGGUUAAAUUGGAAACAAUUGAAUCAUAUCAAAGAAGAUUUGAUAGUUUUUGUUUUUCCUUUCUUGGUUUCAUGUAUAUGUGUAAUUACUGUUAUACUUAUCUAUUAAUCACUUUUUAAAAACUAGUAUUAGUACCAUUGGUGAGACGGUCUUCCUUUCCGCAAUAGUGCUUACAUUAAAAAGAAAUUGUUCAUUAGUAUGUUGACAAUCAGCUUCAACACCCAGUUACUAAAUCCAACUUCCACGUGGUAGUCAAUUUCCCAAAUAAUCUUCUUCUGUUUGCUUGUUUUAUUUUCUUUUUCUUUCUAGUGUUCUUUACCUUUCACGACUUGUUUGAACACAUCUUCUGCUUCGCUAUUGCUUCUAGGGUGUAU
rnacentral:lncRNA from 1 species